rnacentral:rRNA from 1 species
UACGAAGGGGGCUAGCGUUGCUCGGAAUCACUGGGCGUAAAGGGUGCGUAGGCGGGUUUUUAAGUCAGGGGUGAAAUCCUGGAGCUCAACUCCAGAACUGCCUUUGAUACUGAAGAUCUUGAGUCCGGGAGAGGUGAGUGGAACUGCGAGUGUAGAGGUGAAAUUCGUAGAUAUUCGGAGGAACACCAGUGGCGAAGGCGGCUCACUGGUCCGGUACUGACGCUGAGGCGCGAAAGCGUGGGGAGCAAACAGG